UACAGAGGGUGCAAGCGUUGUUCGGAAUUACUGGGCGUAAAGCGCGUGUAGGUGGCGAUGUAAGUCGGGUGUGAAAUCCCUCAGCUUAACUGAGGAAGUGCACUCGAUACUGUGUCGCUUGAGUGUUGGAGGGGAUGGCGGAAUUCCCGGUGUAGAGGUGAAAUUCGUAGAUAUCGGGAGGAACACCUGUGGCGAAGGCGGCCAUCUGGACAACUACUGACACUGAGACGCGAAGGCGUGGGUAGCAAACAGG
rnacentral:rRNA from 1 species